GGGCGAAAUAGGAUCGACGAAGGUGUAAAGAUCGUACUUUUGCCCGGCAUUGUACCACCGUUAUCGGGCUAAACUUAUAGUUGCCAACGACAACUAUGCGGAAGCACGUCUCGCCGCGUAAGCGGUGCGAUAGCUUCAAUUCAAGCCCUAGCGGUUCGCACUUCUAGGCGGGGUUCGGAGGUACCUGGCAACAGAAACCUCCACU
rnacentral:tmRNA from 1 species